GUUCUCCUAAUGUGCCGUACCUUGAAAGCUGAGUCAUGUCUGCAUGGUGUGUAGUGCUGCGUGCAGGAACUUCAUCAGUGAGCUCGUCGGUGGUCAGAUAGAUGUGAUCGGUGACUCGUUUCCUGGUCUCUCUAUACAUCGUGUUACCUUUAUCCAAAACAUGGUCCAGGUCUGCUCCGGUGAUGCUUUCAUUCUCAUGGAGGAAUGCAAGAAAGGUCAGUGAGUUACAGGUGCACUGCCGAUUUCUGGAUCUGCCGUAUCUGAUUGAAGCCUGGCUGUGGGAUGCACGGACAUGUUGUUCAGAAGGCUGAUCUUCAGGGUCUACACGGUCUGCAUUAGAAGGAUGAGACUCUGCAGACAUCUUUACCGCUCCACUGCUCUCAGGACCAACACAUUCUGCUCCGUCAGUCGUUGUUGCACAGGGAUUCUCUUUGGUCCGCUGCCAGCGCAGGCUCUGAGCUUGUGACCUCUUACUCUUUCUUGGCAUUGUUGUGUGUCAAAACCAAAAAUGUUAUUGUUUUACUUGUAUUGUACACAACCAAGGUACUAAACACAAUAUUAAAGGUAAAAUAGUAUUAUUAACAAAGCGGGAUGUAAGGAUAAAUUAAACGUAUGUCUGCUUUUUGGUAACACUUAGCAGUUUAAAUGCUUCAAAACUAUACUAUUUGUUAUGAUAUACCAAAAGCCAUUUCAGUAUCCAAGUAAAUGACUUUGUAGAAAAUCCCAGCCAGGAAAAUGUGAUGUCAAACGUAACACUAUAAAGAGAUCAAUAUCAAUGCUCAAAUUUGACUGUUCCUGAAAUACUAUAUUAUUUAUGUUUUGGUGUAUGUCAAAAAAUCUAUAUUUGAUUGUCAAAUCCAGUGACAGCAACUUUGAGUAUAUUCCUUAGUCUUAUUAUAUUAAGGCUAUAUCUAAAACCCUAAAUCAAACAAUUUUAGUUCAUAAAUACUGUGAGCAGGUAUAUACUGGAUCUGUGAACUUACUGACAGUAUAUAUUUGUUAAAUAUACUUCUAGAAGAAACCUUGACAAAUCUUUGGAAAUAUUUAUUCAAUAUAAAAUCUAAAGUUUAACACUGGACAACAACCAAAUAAAAAUAGGCUAUUUUAAAUGAUUGUGAGCCACCUAAAUCUCUUUUUAAUAAUGAAAUGUACUUAAUUAAAACUCUUAAGACUUGACAAAGUUAGAAAUGACUCUGAUAAAAAAGUUAAAAUGAUUUACUGAGGGAACCAAAUCUACAGUGCAGAAAUGGUAUGUAGUACAAUUCUAGACGCACUAGGACGAAAAUAUUCUGUUCACUUCAAAGUUUUGUGGAAUAUGUAAAUUUAAUUACACAUUUUGCACCAAUCCACAACCAGUAGUCCAAUGCCAGAUCUCUUCUGAUCCUUAACUGUUUGCACUUACCAGCAAGGAAUAUCUUCUAUAAUUAUCUAAUAUUAUUACUAUGAUAUGGUUUAUAUUCAAAUCGGGAACAGUUGUCGUGGCAGCUGAAUCCUUCUGAAGAAUGUUGGGUCUGUAGACAGGAAGCAGCAAUUCCAAAUAAAUCCUUUUCCUCC
ensembl:lncRNA